rnacentral:rRNA from 1 species
GAUGAACGCUAGCGGCAGGCUUAAUACAUGCAAGUCGAGGGGCAGCACGGGUAGCAAUACCUGGUGGCGACCGGCAAACGGGUGCGGAACACGUACGCAACCUUCCCAUAACUGGUGAAUAGCCUUCCGAAAGGGAGAUUAAUACACCGUAACAUAACGAAGUGGCAUCACUUUGUUAUUAUAGGCUUCGGCCGGUUUUGGAUGGGCGUGCGCCUGAUUAGGUAGUUGGCGGGGUAACGGCCCACCAAGCCUGCGAUCAGUAACUGGUGUGAGAGCACGACCAGUCACACGGGCACUGAGACACGGGCCCGACUCCUACGGGAGGCAGCAGUAAGGAAUAUUGGUCAAUGGACGAAAGUCUGAACCAGCCAUGCCGCGUGAAGGAUUAA